CCUACGGGUGGCAGCAGUGAGGAAUAUUGGUCAAUGGACGAGAGUCUGAACCAGCCAAGUAGCGUGAAGGAUGACUGCCCUAUGGGUUGUAAACUUCUUUUGUCAGGGAGCAAGGUGCAGGUCGGGACCUGCUGUGAGAGUACCUGAAGAAAAAGCAUCGGCUAACUCCGUGCCGGCAGCCGCGGUAAUACGUAGGAGGCGAGCGUUAUCCGGAAUGACUGGGCGGAAAGGGUGCGUAGGUGGUUUGGCAAGUUAGUAGCGUAACUCCAAGGCUCAACCUUGGAACUACUACUAAAACUGUUGGACUUGAGUGCAGGAGGGGCAACCGGAAUUCCUGGUGUAGCGGUGGAAUGCGUAGAUAUUAGGAGGAACACCAGUGGCGAAGGCGGGUUGCUAGACUGUGACUGACACUGAGGCACGAAAGCGUGGGGAGCAAACAGGAUUAGAUACCCUUGUAGUC
rnacentral:rRNA from 1 species